rnacentral:lncRNA from 1 species
UAAUCCAUAGAUUCAUUAUACAACACAAAUUACAAGCAAAUUAGUCCAAGUACAUCAAAUUCGAAAACCUAAAAAAACUAGAAAUCUAAUCAAAUCAAUUACAAUCAUAAUCAAAUUACAAGUUUCCUAAAAGAUACAAUCAUAAUUAAAUCCUAAACCUAAUUUUAAUCUAUAAAAAGACUAAGAAUAAUCAGAAUUAGGGGGACGAAAAAAAUAAGAACCCUAAGCAUUAUUGCCCUAUGCAAUUCCCAGCCUUUCAUCAAAGCUCCGACUAAGCAGUAAUUAGGAUUUCAUAUCGAAACCCUAAUUCCUAUGAGCUAAACCACAUUCACGAGUCCAUGACCUCGCACAGAAAGAAAAGAAGAAGUUAGGAGCAAAAGAAAAGAAAAACCAGAUAAAGCAGAAGAGAAUUAGAAAUCGGAAUUUUUACCUUUAAGACCAGAGAACACCUCUUCUCCAUAUGUUGGUUGAAUUCUAUAAUCUAUCUUAUUAUUUAUUUAUGAUAUUAUUGUUGUUUUGGUUUGAUGAUUUGGGUUAAGGGAUUAAGGGUUUACGAUUUUUCCAUCUGGUUUGUGAGUUUGGAUGUCUGGUUGAGGUAAAGGGGAUCAGGAUCUGUGAUUUAGUGAAGGUUUGGGUUUAUUCUGGGUAGGGUUAGGUUUGAUUUGGGUUAGGUUUAGGUUUGGCUGAAGGAAGAAGAUGAAUAUUCAUCUUCUUCAAGGUUAGGGUUCAUCUGGGUACGUUAAAGAGGGUUAAGGUUCUUGAAGCUGAGGGUUAGGGUUUGUUAAUUUGGGGUUAUGGUUCAUAGAAUUAAGGGUUAUGGGAAGGUGUUCAUCACCCAGAUGAACACCAGUUAAAGAUCCCAAUGAGCUUUACAAGGUGUGUGUGGGCUUUGUAGGGUGGUCGGAGUUAAGGCUUCAGAAGAGAUUUAGAGGGAGAGAGCAGAGAACAAAGAGAUGAAGAGAGAAAAAG